GACGUAGGGCGCGAGCGUUGUCCGGAUUUAUUGGGCGUAAAGAGCUCGUAGGCGGCUUGUCACGUCGACCGUGAAAACUUGGGGCUCAACCCCAAGCCUGCGGUCGAUACGGGCAGGCUCGAGUUCGGUAGGGGAGACUGGAAUUCCUGGUGUAGCGGUGAAAUGCGCAGAUAUCAGGAGGAACACCGAUGGCGAAGGCAGGUCUCUGGGCCGAUACUGACGCUGAGGAGCGAAAGCGUGGGGAGCGAACAGG
rnacentral:rRNA from 1 species